rnacentral:rRNA from 1 species
GAAUAUUGCACAAUGGGCGCCAGCCUGAUGCAGCAACGCCGCGUGGAGGAUGACGGCCUUCGGGUUGUAAACUCCUUUUCUGGGGGACGAGAACGGACGGUACCCCAGGAAUAAGUCUCGGCUAACUACGUGCCAGCAGCCGCGGUAAAACGUAGGAGGCGAGCGUUAUCCGGAAUUACUGGGCGUAAAGCGCGGGCAGGUGGUGGCUUAAGUCAUGCGUGAAAACGCUCGGCUCAACCGGGCGAGGCCGUGUGAAACUGGGUCACUGGAGGCAGGUAGAGGCAGACGGAAUUCCGGGUGGAGUGGUGAAAUGCGUAGAGAUCCGGAGGAACACCAGUGGCGAAGGCGGUCUGCUGGGCCUGUCCUGACACUCAGCCGCGACAGCAUGGGGAGCGAACGGG